UACGAAUCGUCCAAACGUUGUUCGGAUUCACUGGGCUUAAAGGGCGCGUAGGCGGCUUUGUAAGUCGGGGGUGAAAGCCUGUGGCUCAACCCCAGAAUUGCCUUCGAUACUGCAUGGCUUGAGACCGGAAGAGGUAAGUGGAACUGCGAGUGUAGAGGUGAAAUUCGUAGAUAUUCGCAAGAACACCAGUUGCGAAGGCGGCUUACUGGUCCGGUUCUGACGCUGAGGCGCGAAAGCGUGGGGAGCAAACAGG
rnacentral:rRNA from 1 species